AAAUGUGUUAUCAGCGAGAUACUAGAUGCAUGGGAGUUGACUACAUAUGUUGUGGCUAAGAUCGAUAGAAGAGAGAAGAAGUUUGAAGUGCGCUGUGAGAUGAAGGAAGGUUCUUUGUAUAGGAUAAGUUGUUCUUGUUGUAAGCUAGAAUGCUUGGGAACACCAUGCUCUCACAUAUUCUACAUCUUGGGAAUACGUCAAGUGGAAGUGCUGCCUAGGUGUUGUGUUCCCAUGAGGUGGACGAUGAGUGCGAAGUCUGCAUUCCCUCCGACCAGAAAGAGUGAGAUGUACGACUACUCGGCAAGCCUUGUGAGGUACCGUGAGUUGCGGAAUUUGAGUCAUGCAGCAUGUUUCCGGGCAUGUCAAUCUAGUGAGGAGUAUCAGCGUCUGAAGAUGAUUCUGAGUGAACAAGAUGGCAGCAAGGAAUCAAGCCGUGGUCAGGAGGAAUGCAUUAGGUUUGGUCCGGUGCUACCACAGACGACGGAAAUUGAUUGUGGAGAUUUGGAAAAGGUUCUGGACCCAGUGCAUGUGCAAGGCCGAGGUGCACCGAAGAAAAGGUUGCAGGCAAAGAUGAAGAAGCAAAGGUCAAAGAGGAAAUGUGGCUACUGUGGGGUGGAAGGUCAUGAUCGGCGUACAUGCAAUAAAUUGAAAGAGGAAAUGAUGGCAGCAAACUGUUAGCUACAACUCUCUGUACAAGGCCAUUGGCAAAAUGGACGCAGCUGCUGAGCCUCAAGAGAGUGAUGUUGUGUUGGUGACGAAGUGGCCCAACCGCCUCUAUCCUAUGGUUGCCAUGUGAAGAAAAAGGAUAUGUGGGAGCUUUUGGAUGGACAAAGGCUCCAGCAAGGAAGAGAAGAGAGCUGCAUUUCCUUACUUGCAAUUCUAGUAAUUAUCUUUGUUAUAACUUGUAGAGUGUACCCGCAAAAAAACUUGUAGAGUGUGAUGGAUUAAUUAGGAUGCUACGUAAUCAGAGUACGUAUACUAUCAUAUGUAUCAUGACUGAUUACGACCAAGGUGUGCGUUCCAUGAACAAGACUCCCAUUUAUAUGUUUAUUAA